rnacentral:rRNA from 1 species
UACGGAGGGUGCAAGCGUUGUCCGGAAUCACUGGGCGUAAAGGGCGCGUAGGCGGCCCGGUAAGUAGGGGGUGAAAUCCUGCGGCUUAACCGCAGGGCUGCCUUCUAAACUGUCGGGCUCGAGCACGGUAGAGGCAGAUGGAAUUCCCGGUGUAGCGGUGGAAUGCGUAGAGAUCGGGAAGAACAUCAGUGGCGAAGGCGGCUGACUGGUCCGGUUCUGACGCUGAGGCGCGAAAGCGUGGGGAGCAA